UACGUAGGGUGCAAGCGUUGUCCGGAAUUAUUGGGCGUAAAGAGCUCGUAGGCGGUUCGUCGCGUCGGCUGUGAAAUCCCGAGGCUCAACCUCGGGUCUGCAGUCGAUACGGGCGGACUGGAGUUCGGCAGGGGAGACUGGAAUUCCUGGUGUAGCGGUGAAAUGCGCAGAUAUCAGGAGGAACACCUAUGGCGAAAGCAGGCUUCUGGGCCAUCACUGACGCUGAUCUGCGAAAGCUAGGGGAGCAAACAGG
rnacentral:rRNA from 1 species